rnacentral:rRNA from 1 species
UACGGGGGGAGCAAGCGUUGUUCGGAUUUACUGGGCGUAAAGGGCGCGUAGGCGGCCACCGCAAGUCAGUUGUGAAAUCUCUGGGCUUAACCCAGAAAGGUCAACUGAUACUGCGGGGCUAGAGUGCAGAAGGGGCAACUGGAAUUCUCGGUGUAGCGGUGAAAUGCGUAGAUAUCGAGAGGAACACCGGUGGCGAAGGCGGCCAACUGGACAGAUACUGACGCUGAAACACGAAAGCGUGGGGAGCAAACAGG